rnacentral:snRNA from 1 species
CUUGCUUCUCAGCCUUUUGGCUAAGAUCAAGUAUAGUAUCUGCUCUUAUCAGUUUAAUAUCUGAUACGUCCUCUAGCCACAGACAAUAUAUUAAAUGGUUUUUUGGAAUCGGAUGAUGGAAUAGGAGUUUGCUCUGUCCACUCCAUGCAUCAACCUGGUAUUGCAGUACUUCCAGGAAUGGUGUACCAAAG